rnacentral:rRNA from 1 species
GAGUUUGAUCGUGGCUCAGAUUGAACGCUGGCGGCAUGCCUUACACAUGCAAGUCGAACGGCAGCAUGAUCUAGCUUGCUAGAUUGAUGGCGAGUGGCGAACGGGUGAGUAAUACAUCGGAACGUGCCCUGUAGUGGGGGAUAACUAGUCGAAAGAUUAGCUAAUACCGCAUACGACCUGAGGGUGAAAGUGGGGGACCGCAAGGCCUCAUGCUAUAGGAGCGGCCGAUGUCUGAUUAGCUAGUUGGUGGGUAAAGGCCCACCAAGGCGACGAUCAGUAGCUGGUCUGAGAGGACGAUCAGCCACACUGGGACUGAGACACGGCCAGACUCCUACGGGAGG